rnacentral:misc_RNA from 1 species
AACGCAUAUUGCGCUCUCUGGUAUUCCGGAGAGCAUGCUUGUUUGAGUAUCAGUAAACACCUCAACUCCCUUUUCUUUUUUGAAAUGGGAGCUGGACUUGAGUGAUCCCAACACUUUUCUCACUGGAAAGUGGCGGGUCACUUGAAAUGCAGGUGCAGCUGGACUUUUCUCUGAGCUAUAAGCAUAUCUAUUUAGUCUGCCUAAAAAACAGAUUAUUACCUUUGCUGCAGCUAACAUAAAGGAGAUGAGUUCUUGUGCUGACUGAUGCAGGAUUCACAGAGACAGCUUCGCGGCUGACUUUGUAAACUCGAUCUCAAAUCAAGUAAGACUACCCGCUGAACUUAA